UACGGAGGGUGCAAGCGUUAUCCGGAUUCACUGGGUUUAAAGGGUGCGUAGGUGGGUCUGUAAGUCUGUGGUGAAAUCUCUGAGCUUAACUCGGAAACUGCCAUGGAUACUAUAGAUCUUGAAUACCGUGGAGGAUAGCGGAAUAUGUCAUGUAGCGGUGAAAUGCUUAGAUAUGACAUAGAACACCAAUUGCGAAGGCAGCUGUCUGCGCGAAUAUUGACACUGAGGCACGAAAGCGUGGGGAUCAAACAGG
rnacentral:rRNA from 1 species